rnacentral:rRNA from 1 species
AGAGUUUGAUCCUGGCUCAGAACGAACGCUGGCGGCGUGGAUAAGACAUGCAAGUCGAACGAGAGAAUUGCUAGCUUGCUAAUAAUUCUCUAGUGGCGCACGGGUGAGUAACACGUGAGUAACCUGCCCCCGAGAGCGGGAUAGCCCUGGGAAACUGGGAUUAAUACCGCAUAGUAUCGAAAGAUUAAAGCAGCAAUGCGCUUGGGGAUGGGCUCGCGGCCUAUUAAUUAGUUGGUGAGGUAACGGCUCACCAAGGCGAUGACGGGUAGCCGGUCUGAGAGGAUGUCCGGCCACACUGGAACUGAGACACGGUCCAGACACCUACGGGUGGCAGCAGUCGAGAAUCAUUCACAAUGGGGGAAACCCUGAUGGUGCGACGCCGCGUGGGGGAAUGAAGGUCUUCGGAUUGUAAACCCCUGUCAUGUGGGAGCAAAUUAAAAAGAUAGUACCACAAGAGGAAGAGACGGCUAACUCUGUGCCAGCAGCCGCGGUAAUACAGAGGUCUCAAGCGUUGUUCGGAAUCACUGGGCGUAAAGCGUGCGUAGGCUGUUUCGUAAGUCGUGUGUGAAAGGCGCGGGCUCAACCCGCGGACGGCACAUGAUACUGCGAGACUAGAGUAAUGGAGGGGGAACCGGAAUUCUCGGUGUAGCAGUGGAAUGCGUAGAUAUCGAGAGGAACACUCGUGGCGAAGGCGGGUUCCUGGACAUUAACUGACGCUGAGGCACGAAGGCCAGGGGAGCGAAAGGGAUUAGAUACCCCUGUAGUCCUGGCAGUAAACGGUGCACGCUUGGUGUGCGGGGAAUCGACCCCCUGCGUGCCGGAGCUAACGCGUUAAGCGUGCCGCCUGGGGAGUACGGUCGCAAGAUUAAAACUCAAAGAAAUUGACGGGGACCCGCACAAGCGGUGGAGCAUGUGGUUUAAUUCGAAGCAACGCGAAGAACCUUACCAAGCCUUGACAUCUAUCUGACAGAGUAUGUAAUGUACUUUCCCUUCGGGGCAGGUAAGACAGGUGGUGCAUGGUUGUCGUCAGCUCGUGUCGUGAGAUGUUGGGUUAAGUCCCGCAACGAGCGCAACCCUUAUCCUUAGUAGCCAGCACUUCGGGUGGGCACUCUAGGGAGACUGCCAGGGAUAACCUGGAGGAAGGUGGGGAUGACGUCAAAUCAUCAUGCCCCUUAUGGCUUGGGCUACACACGUGCUACAAUGGCGUAACAAAGGGAAGCGAACCCGUGAGGGGGGGCAAAUCCCAAAAAUAACGUCCCAGUUCGGACUGUAGUCUGCAACCCGACUACACGAAGCUGGAAUCGCUAGUAAUCGCGAAUCAGAAUGUCGCGGUGAAUACGUUCCCGGGUCUUGCACUCACCGCCCGUCA